CUUCGUCAUUCAUCAGUCGAUCGCCGCACUCGUCGCCGCGCCAUCACACGUCAUCACGGCAGACGUCACGAUGACAACCCGUUGGUGUAGCUAGGUGGAGAGAGGGACAGAUAGAGAGAUAUAGAUAGAGAGCGUGGGAGAGAGCGUGAGAGAGAGGCAGAGUGAGAGAGCGAGGGAGAACGAGUUCGUCUUACGACGCUAGUGAUGCCAUGCUGUAAAUACGCCACACAACUGUGACUUAGUUUACCGAAAACAACGACGCGAUACGUCUAGCUUGUACAUAAAUGUAACUACGGUUAGGACAUUGAUGUGUAUCAUCGUGUAUCGUCGUGUGCAUUCGUUUAUUCUAGAUCUUGAUAAUAAUUAACACUGUGCUCUAGUUUCUUUUAAACCUGUAUUGUGUAUACCCGGUAUGAAUUCCACGUAGAAAAGAGAACAGUCAACCGUGUAUUGAUGGAUGACAAUUUCUGACGUUGUAUUAUUACGUGAAUAAUAAAUGACAUUGUAUGUAAAACAUA